rnacentral:rRNA from 1 species
AAAGCUCAAAUUUUGAAUCUGGCGCCUUUGGCUCCCGAGUUGUAAUCUAGAGAAGUGUUUUCCGCAGCGGACCGUGUAAAAGUUCCCUGGAACGGGACGUCAUAGAGGGUGAGAAUCCCGUACAUGCCACGGACUGCCGUUGCUCUGUGAUACACUCUCAACGAGUCGAGUUGUUUGGGAAUGCAGCUCAAAAUGGGUGGUAAAUUCCAUCUAAAGCUAAAUAUUGGCGAGAGACCGAUAGCGAA